rnacentral:rRNA from 1 species
GUGGGGAAUAUUGGACAAUGGGCGAAAGCCUGAUCCAGCCAUGCCGCGUGUGUGAAGAAGGUCUUCGGAUUGUAAAGCACUUUAAGUUGGGAGAAAGGGUAGUAACCUAAUACGUUGCUACUUUGACGUUACCGACAGAAUAAGCACCGGCUAACUUCGUGCCAGCAGCCGCGGUAAUACGAAGGGUGCAAGCGUUAAUCGGAAUUACUGGGCGUAAAGCGCGCGUAGGUGGUUCAGUAAGUUGGAAGUGAAAUCCCCGGGCUCAACCUGGGAACUGCUUUCAAAACUGCUGAGCUAGAGUACGGUAGAGGGUGGUGGAAUUUCCUGUGUAGCGGUGAAAUGCGUAGAUAUAGGAAGGAACACCAGUGGCGAAGGCGACCACCUGGACUGAUACUGACACUGAGGUGCGAAAGCGUGGGGAGCAAACAGGAUUAGAUACCCCAGUAGUCC